UGGGAUGUGGCUCAGUUGGUAGAGUGCUUGCCUUACAUGCACAAGGCCUUGGGUUUGAUCUCCAGCACCACAC
rnacentral:tRNA from 1 species